AUCUAGCUGACGAAUUUCAAAUAGGACGAAACGCGCUUCCAUGAU
rfam:Schistosoma mattheei strain Denwood, Zambia genome assembly, scaffold: SMTD_contig0007254